rnacentral:sRNA from 1 species
GGAAAAAAUAUCCAUGGCCUCCUUCACCUUUAAAGCAAUUGCUACCUUUUUCUAUUCCUCCUUAUAUUACAAGCCUACAAUUUAGCAGUCUUCAAUGACCACUCAAGCCAAACCUAUCAGCCAAGGGUGUUUUUGGAGGGAUUAUUAGCUGGUUAUAGAUGAGCACAUUUUGGUUUGUAUCCAGCUGAUGCCCCCAUGAUGGACCAAAAAGCAAAAAUUUCGGUCAUCUAGGCUGUUUUGUCUACAAUUUGCCCAAUGAUCCAUAGAUCUAAUCUUUAACUUUUUAAUUAAUUACUUCUUUUUGUUUUUACUUUCUUAAAAAUAAUUUUAAAUUUUAUUUUAGAUUCGAGGGUCCAUGUACAGGUUUGUUACUUGAAGCGAAUUAAUUCUCGUAACUGCACAAACUAGCACUCACCACAAAUGUUUUCUCUGAAAGCGUAUUUCAUCCUUUCAGUUAUUCAGGCGAGAAACUUCAGAGUUACCUGACCCCUCUCUUUCACUCUCCACUUCCACCUGGACAAGUAUCCUGUCCGACAGCAUGAGACUCUGCCUCCUCCUCUUCACCACAGCACCACUGCUUUCAUUGAGGCUGCAUUUCAUUCACUGUUUCACAGGCUGUGGCAGGAGCCUCCACGCCUCACUGUCUGCUUUCAGUUCCCAUCUGACCCAUCUCCAUUAGCGCUGCCUUUCUUGAGACACAGCUCUCCGUGCUUUCAUGACUCCCUAGAAACAGAGAAAGUCCAGACACCUGAGCUGGCAUCCAUAGCGUUUGGCCCUUUCUAUUUGUCCAAGGUUAUCACUCACACCAUUGACUCUACACACACACACACACACACACACACACACGUGCCCAAACAAGUUCUGCAGGAUCUCAUUCUGUGACCUCUGUUGAUUCUCAAAUUCUCUAGGCUUUACUGAUGUCUGGCACUGUGUGCCAUUUGUUAGAGUUAUGGUGUUUGUAUCUGCCUUGUGUCUUUCAUGGAGGAUCACCAAUAAGCUGUGGUCCCAGAGAAAAGCCCAGACAUGGCUUUCCAUGUAUUUGUUGAAUCCAGUUUAUGUUUCCAUCGAUUUUGUGCUGAAGAAUCCUGUGUUACUCUCAGCAGAUAGUGCUGGUCAUGUUCACACUCUUUCUGAUGUUUGGUGCGCCCUAUCUGAGUUCACGUGGACUAAUGGUGUGGAGGUCUGGGAAGUGAGCCUAACUAAAAAAACUCGAGGAGAUAUUUGCUCAUGAAGUUGUGAUUUCAAACUUCCUCAGCAGAGAUUUCCAGCAUACCAGAUUUCAAAGGCGAAGCAUCUAAGCCUUUCCUUAGACCCACCGCUCGAAUCUCUUUUGUCCCACGCUGACUUCACAUUUGGCCUCCUUGGUUUUUAGUCAGACUGCAGAGGCCGACUAGUCUGUCCUGGGUAGGGUAAGAUGCUCCUUUAUCCAGCCUGACUGGUCAUCCAGAGGGAAAUGUUAGUUAAGCAUUAUUAAUACAAAAAGAAAAAUCAAUAACACAAAGAUAAUUUCCUUUUUGAUUUAAGUACUGCUUAGCCAAAAUAAGUAUUUAUUUAUUGUAUAGUUGCAAGCAGCAACAAAAUGAAAACAAAAGCCUCCCAUUUUAGCAGACAUGUUUUGAGGCUCUACUGGGUAGCAGGUACAAUGUUGGGCUUUGUGAGGGACACAAAGAUGAGUGACACGCUGUCACUUUUCACCCUGAUGUGGCAGCUCCAAGCUGGUAGUGAUUCUUGAUAUGGUAAAUUAUACUUUGCCUGUAUUUGAAUGCAUUAGUUUCAUUUAAAAAAUUAUUUUUAUGUAAGUAGAGAUGAGGUCUUGCUAUGUUGCCCACACCGGUCUCGAACUCCUGGCCUCAAACAAUCCUCCCACCUCACCUUUCCAAAGUGCUGGGAUUACGGGUAUGUGCCUGGCCUACUUAAAUGUAUUAUAAGGUAGUCUUGAUAAGUGUUCUCAUUUUGUUCCAAAUGAUAUUCAGUUGAUCAGUGAUGAUGGUGAUGCUUGCUGGUUGUUGAUCCUGUGGCUAAUACGGGCUACAGAAUGUCUGCAAGGGCUUUACAGCAUCAGCUGUAAUAUCAAAACAGCUGACCCUGGUGAGCUGGCAAUAAGGCAGACAACACAGGCUUGUGGGCAGAUAAGCAUGGGUUCAAAUCCCCACUCUGCUGCUUCCUAGUUGUAUGAUUUGGGGCAAGCUUAACCAAGUCUUGACAUCUAUAUCUACAAAAUGAGGAAGAACCAUAGUACCUAUUGCACAGAAUUACAGUAAGGAUUAAAUAAAAAAAUGCAUGAAAAAUGCUUCACAAGGUUCCUGUAACUCAAUACACAUUAGCUUUAUUACAGUAUCUGAAAAUCACUUUAAUUGGAACUACCAUAACAUCAGAUUAGUGUCUGAUUGUAUAAUCUGGGUUUGCCGAUAAUCUCAGGUUUAAACAUUUUGUGGUUCUACACACAGUUCUCCAGCAGAACUUGCUGAGAAAUCUUUUCUUUAAAUACUUCUCACAGGAAACAUGAACUAUUUACCUUUCAAAAAAAAGUCAUAACCCUCUCCUUUCUUCCUCAUGAAUAAAAUGACUGGCACCACAUUUUGUAAAACGUGCCAGAUUUUGUUUAAAUAAUUAACAUUGGCAGUCUUCAGAUGAGUGGUUCUAUGGUAGCAUAGAAAGGGGCCUGAACUAGAAAUCAGGAAACAUGGGUUUGAAAUUCAGUUUGGCCACUAUUGGGCUGCGUGACCUUCGGUAGGUCACAAAAUAUCACUGGUCCUCAGCUUUUAUUGCAUAAAAUAUUAGAGGUAGAUUAAAUUGUGGUUCUGAAACUCAAGUGCUAGUGGGGUUUGGGGCGGUAAGAUCAACGAAGGAAGCAGUUGAGUAUAAGACAAUAGGGAGUAGUGGUGACUGAGGUAAACCAGAGAAGACAUGUCUUACCUAAAAAUGACAUCCUCUGCUCCAACUGACUAUUACUGAUGGGAAUGUGGUACAUGAACAUGGAGCCCUAUCUUCCUAAUUUUUAGGGGAGGGUGGAAAUCUGGAAGUAGAUUUUUAAACAGGAUAAAGACCAAACAAACAUAAGUUGGCAUUUUGAGACCCUUGCAUUCAAUUACAUCUAAGGUCUCUUCCUAUCUUAAAAUUCUGUUGUAUUCUACAAACAGUUACUUUAAUAUAAUAUAGAAAUGGCAUGGUUAAAGAAAUGGACAAAGAUGGCGUGAGCCACCGCGCCCGGCCUAUAGAUCUCAUUUUUAAUGUCAUCAUCAUGGUAACCUUUUGAGGUAGAUAUAAUUAUCUCCAUUUUGCAAAUGAAGCACUGAGUCCUAACAGAUAACCUCCUCAAUGUCACGCCCCUAUUAAGUAGCAGAGCUGGAGUUUAAACCCAUGUCCUCACUUUUAACCACUUCUGUCUACUUCCUCCUGAACGUGAAUCAUCAUGCUUCACUUUGCAUAGUUUUGUUCCCAAAAUCAAAUCCCCUCUCAAAGGGUCAACCUUUGCCAUUAACAAGAGUUCUCAGGAGAAUGUGCCCUAAUUCCUGGAGACAAUGACUGAAAGGAGUUUCAAAAGCCCUUUGAAAGAGUGGCCGCAUUGCUGGCAAGAGCAGCUAGUUUCCCUAGGUUGCAACUCUCAUUUAUAUGUGUAAGCUCUGAUCUCCUUGCUUAAACAGAAAAGAAAAAAGCAAAAGAAAAAGGCCUUAUUUACUUUAAAGUUACACCUUAGACUACUGUUAUCUAAACUUAUGUCCUGUGGAGCAGUUGACCUGAAAGAAAAGAGUUCUGUGCUCAAAUAAAUUUGGGAAACUGCACGUUCUAUCCCUGCUUGGUUAUUUACAAUGAAGUUACCUUGGCAUAGAAACAUCUCUGAAAUUAUUCAAAAUUGUUUCAAUUUUCUUAACAUCCCAUAGAAUAUUGGUUCUAUGGAACAUACAGUACUUUGGAAAUAUAUGCAUGUGAUAAUUCAUUUUAUUUUUAGCUUAAUUAUUUAUACCCCACCUCAUUCUAGAGAGGCUGGAUAGCAAAGGAUACGCAGGUGGAAAGAAUCUCAUCCUAAUGGAUACAUUAAACGGUCUGUCUCCAUAUAAGGAGCAACUCGAAACCAUUUUGUUAGUGUGGAUUCAUUGAUGUGUCCUCUAGGAGUCAGUCUCCCCAGUAGGCUCUCUACCUGGUCAAACAAUUUAGCACACACCCCUUCUUUAGGGACCUCCCAGUAGAUCUCCAUCUUUGGGAGGAAGGAGAUGACUGCUUGCAGCUCAUUCAACAGGAAAAGGCUUCUGAGUGUAAAUAUACACUCUCACUGUUUUUAUUUGGAGCAUUCAUCACAGCUAUUUUCUAAAUGGCUAAACAAGCAUUUCCCUGGGUAUGUUCCAUGGAAUAUUCAUUUUGUAGGAAGCUCAACGAUAAAAGAGUCCCAUUAUCAAUGAGAUCAGGAAACUGUAUAUUUAAUUCCAUUUUGAAGAGUCUCAAUUUACUUCAGGAUAGAAAAAGCAUAGUUAAGAACCCUGAUUAACUUCUUUAACCCACUUUUCCUAAAUGUAUCUGCCAGUUUUUGUGUACAUAAACCUCUCAACCCUUUGAAGAUUGUGCGUUCCAGGGAAUACACUCUGGGAAAUUCUCGGCAAGACUGUUGUAGGUUUGCAGCAGAUACUGGGGAAAGCUGAUACUAAAAAGAGGGAGCUGGCUUCCUCAUGGCCACUCACCAGUCCUGGGGAAGUCGGGGAGGGAGAGAGCAAGCCUGAGCCUGGAAUCCCAGCUCUGCCACUUACAAGCUUCAAAUCACUUCACCUCCCUCACCUUGGUUUUCUUUAUCUCUUACGAGGAGAAUAUAAAACCUACAUCUUAGUGUUCAUUUGAGGAUUAAAAUCAGAUGUCAAGCUGUUGAAGAUGAGGCCUGGCAUGGAGUAGGCCCUUCUCCUUGAUGUUCCAGGACCGGGGAGAUCCAGGGUGAUUUUAUAAACACAUGGGGAGGGUGCGAAUUCCUAGAAAGGAAGAGUUUUCACUGCUCUGGGAUGAGAGAUAAUCCCAGGAGGACUGGGGAUUACCAAAAGGGGGUUACCAUGCCAAAAGGAGAGGAUCCAUGCUCAAAUGUUUGCUAGUGUGCAUGUCAAGGAAAUCCCUGCAAAUCUAAAAGCCACAUCCUAAUCCUAGCCCCAGCACUGACAAAACAUGUGACCCUGGUUAAGUCACUUAACCUCUGCCAGCCUCAGUCUCCUCAUAUGUAAAAAGAGGAGUUGGACUACGUAUCUCUCUGGAGUACCCCCAACCCUCAGAUUAGUGUGGAACCAAAUUAAGGUUAUUCCAAUCAAUCCAGGUUGAAGAGUUGGUAAUCUAAUUAAGGAUCAGCUGAAUUUUCAAGGUUGAGAGUCAAAAAGAACUGUCAAAUAAUGUACUUGUGUGUGAUUAUUCCAAUUGUAAUGCUUUUCUGUGUUAGGAGCAUAUUUUUAAAUAUUCAAAUGUGAAUUAUUCACAUGGCACAUGCACUUAUAAUGUGUGCAUUUAACUAAAGUGAAUCAUCAGCCUAUUAUUAAUUAUAAUUUAACCAGCCCUAUUCUUUUGGAUAAAGGAGAAUAUUAGUAAAAACCAAAGGAUGUGAAUCAUUUAAGCAAAGCCAGCUCUAAGCAAUCUGGCAAGCCCCUCCAGCUGUCCCUCCAUAUCUUCCAACAGCUAUAACCUGUGCAUACUGUGCUCUUUCAUUUACAUAUACAUAUACGUAUGCAAAUAAACCCAUGUUCACUUGGGAGUGUGCACACUCAUGUUUGUACACACUGUCCGUGUCCUACCUAAUAUCCUAGAAGAUGUCCAUCAAAGUCUUCUUGGGGCAGGCGACAUCCUCAUGGGACCUGAGUUUCCUUAGCAGUAAAACACGUGUUCUUUUCCUAGAUCUAAGAGCUCUUCCAGCUCUGACAUUUGAUGUCUGUGUUCUUUGCUUAGCUAUUCCUUGGCAGAAGCAUUGGAGACAUGCUCAUACACAUUAUCUCACAUAAUUCUUAAAACCAUCCAGGAAGUCUUUUUGCAUCCUCAAUCCUAUUUUAACAGAUGAUGAAACAGAUUUACCUACUUGAUGUGUAAACAUACAAUAAUAACUGGCAGUUACAAGCUUAGAAACCUGAUUCUCUAUUCUGAAUCCAAUCAAUUCAUUCUCCAAGUGACAACCAGGCGCUGGCUACUCACUUUUCCCUUCUUAAUCAGAGUGGUUUUUGUAGAGUUGGGAAUCAUCUGGAAGAGCCCCCUAGAUCAUCUCCCCUCCAUAGCCAGGAAAAUCUGCUCUAGGCUGGAAGAUGGGAUGUAGGCCACUCAUGGGCCAGAUACAAUUCUAAUGGCAAUCAAGAUAUUACAGGUGACUGGAGAGAGUCUGAAGAAGUACAUGUCAUUAGAGCCAGGGUGCCUGGCACGGGACCAAAUGAGCAGUCUAGUUUGAGACAAUGGGAAGUUUUCUUAGCAGGAGUCACCCUUCCCCCCACCAUUCAGCUAUCUGCAGACCAGCCUCUCCGCUCCCCAGAUUCCACAUGCCUACUCUUCCAUGAAUGAAGGCUACAGUGCUAUAAGCAUAGACUCGUACAUCUUUAGAGCUACAAAAGACCUCACAAAUGAUCCAGUCUAGUCUCUUCGCUUUACAAUAUAGAGAAAAGUGAUAUGCUCUAGGACACAGAAUGUAUGGUCAAAUUUAUAUUAGGACCCAGGCUUCCUGAUUCCCUCUUCAGUGUGCUGCUUCCCUGGCCUCUGAAGAGACGAGGCCCCAGGGCAGGAAACCACCUCAGUGGCCCACCAGACUUAGCACCAACACAUGAGCCUGCCCAAUCCUUUCGCUCUUACACAUUCCCAUCUCUGGCCUCUCACCUGGAAUUUGGGCAGCCUUACCCUUGACCCCCUGUAGCUAUAUCCUCAUUCUUAGAUCGUCUGCUUCUUCAUUUACUUCUCUGUUGCUGGCCCUGGUUCCCUCUGAACUCUAAGCUCCAUGUUAACCCUGUUGCCUACUUUUCCGUUCAUUUUGAAGUAAAUUCUGUGUGUCCUACCUCUCCGUUCAACCAGGAAUCCCCUAAUAGCUUUAUGACCUUGGUGUGAAAGUGUCACUUAGUCAUGACCCGUCCCUAUAGACAGCAGAAUCUGGAGGAAUUAGAGCUUAAUGUUAGCAUUUUACAGGUCACAUCCUCUGAUCCCAGAGCAAUAUUAAUAAUGAAAUUAUGAAAGCUUUUUUAAAAAAAGCAAUUACAGGGAAUUUUAAGAAUAUUAUUCUAAAUUCCCAUUGAAAUCAAAUAUGCAAUUUUAAAAGAUGAGUAUGGAGCAAAAGUUACUGGAUGCAUUACACAAAGUAAAGUUCCAAUUCUAAAUACUUUCAUUUUUUAAUCAGAAAGAAUAAAAGUAUAUUAUUGGGCACUAAACUUAAUAAGUAUCCUAAGGAAAUCAGGAGAAAAGCAAUAAAGAAAAGAUAAAAUAAUAAAUUAGAAAACAGUGGGAAUAAAAAAUAAAUAGAAGAUUUGAUCCUUGGAAAAUGCCAAAAAACAAAAAAAAUGUGCCAGACAUUUGAAGGAUAUCACAUACUCAAAUAGGGGAGAUUCUGUUAAUUCUGUUAAUUAUUCAACAGAAAGCUUUGGGUAAAUUUGGGUAAAUAGAAAAUAUCAAGGCUGUGUCUUAUCUCACAUCAUACAUAAAAGUAAGUCCCAAAUGUAUUGAAGAGUUAAAUAUUAAAAAGAAAAUGUUACAGGGAAGAUGUAGGCAAUAUUUCCUUGAUCUCAAGACAGGAAAGGAUAUUUAAAGAAUGAAAUCAUGUCUUUUGCAGCAACAUGGAUGGGUUGGAGGCCAUUAUCUUAAGUAAAAUAACUCAGAAAGUCAAAUACCGCAUGUUUUCACUUAUAAGUGGGGGCUAAAUAAUAUGUACUCAUGGACAUAAAGUGUGGAAUGAUAGACAUUGGAGACUGAGAAGGGUGGGGGUGUAGGAGGAAGGGAGGGAUGAUGCAAUACUUAACGGGUGCAUUGCACACUAUUCAGGUGAUGGUUACACCAAAAGCCCAGACUUCACCACUACACAAUAUAUCCAUGUAACAAAACUGCACUUGCACCCCCUAAAUUUAUAAUUUUUUAAAAAAAGGAUUAAAGGCAGGCCAGGCGCGCUGGCUCAUGCCAGUAAUCCCAGCACUUGGGAGGCCGAGGGUGGAUCACGUGAGGUUGGGAGUUCGAGACCAGCCUGACCAACAUGGUGAAACCCCGUCUCUACUAAAAAUACAAAAAUUAGCCGGCACAGUGGCACAUGCCUGUAAUCCCAGCUACUCAGGAGGCUGAGGCAGGAGAAUCACUUGAACCCGGGAGGCGGAGGUUGUGGUGAGCCGAGAUCGUGCCAUGGCACUCCAGCCUGGACAACAAGAGUGAAACUCUGUCUCAAAAAAAAAAAAAA